AAGAAUAUGCCCAAGCUCAUGAUCUGGAGCUUCUGCGUUUCCCUAAGGUCCUGGAGAUGUCACCCAAUUGUCCAAAGCCUGCCUCUGCGUGGUCCUCUAAGAAGGCUGCUGUUCUGCAGGUCUGUAUGGACAUCCCACCUGGAUGGCAGCAGCUUUUAUUCUUUUAUGAUUCCCAGACCCUUUGGGCCCUGGGAAAAAAGCAAGAGCUGACUCUCAGUUGGCUGCUUAUUCUGUGCAGGUACUGUGCUGAGUAGUUUAUGAGUAUCAUCUAAUUUUCUUUUAGUAGCUACUAUUCUUAUUAUCAUGCCCAUUUUAUAAAUGGAAAACUGAGGGUUAGAAGAGUUAGGAAGCUUGCCCACUCUCACCCAGGUAGCAAGGGACGGGCCUGGGUCUCGAACUCUUUCAAGGCCAUGGUGAAGGGAAAAGACUCCCCCUAAUAAAUGUUAGUUAUCAGUAGAAGAAGCCAGAGAGGCUGGUCCAAAGUCUCCGAGGCAUAGAGAGACUCCAGCCAAUGUUUCCUCCUCUCCAGGCAACAAAAGCAGAAAAACAAACAUUGGUUAGCAGCACACGUACUUCCGCAUCAAUUAUAUGAAACCCCAGGAUCAUUUAUUCUGAUUAGAAAUUUCCUGACCAGCUCUACUUUGGGGAAGAAAAGAACUGAAAUUUUUUGUGCUUUUGCUACUUUUGGACGGGGCUCUGGAGUUGAUAAAUCUGUCUUCAGCCUGGGUGUGGCCGCUGCUAACUGUAUGACCUCAAGGAAGCCACUUGACUGAUUCCAGCCUCAGUGUCCUCAUCUGCAAAAUGCAGAAGAGGAUCCUGAGACUGGAGUGAGCUUCCUGCCUAAGGUCACACAGCUAGUUCAUGGACAGGCCCAGGACUAGAACUGAAGUUUCGUUUAUCUAUCAGUCAUUUGUCGGAUACUGACUAGGGACCAUGCUGGGCUCCAGAGUUCCACAAUGAAGCACACAGCCUUUGCUUUCAAAGAGCUGACGGGCGAUCACUAUAUGACUGUUGAAGAUCACACACUAGACGACAUCCAUGGAAUGCCCCACCUGCCAGAGUGAGGGAGGAGGACCCACAAGAACUUCGCAGAGUAAAUUCUCCCAAAUCACUAGUUCCCAAUUUACAAAGGUAGUAAUCAAGGCCACUAAAUAUUUUAAGCAAAUUUGCAUUAUAUCUAUCCCUACCCCCUAAUCACUUGAAAUAAUUUACAUGAAAGACUUAAACUCUUGUUUGCAAAAUCUUUUUAAGCACUUAAGCAAUUCUUGUAAAUGUAAUGAAUCAAACUCAUUAAUGUAGUAAAUCAGCUUCUCUUACAAAAAGUCUGUCUGUUAAAAAUUAUCUUACAUCCUUUAGCUUGAAAUUACAAGUCUAAAAUAAAUCAUAUAUUUCAGAUAAGAUAAGCUACUCUGCCUGAUUCUCUAAUACACCAGGUCCUCUUCAACAUCAGACACUGUCUGUCAGGAUACCUGCUAGGUCAUGCCACAGUAACAAACAAUUCCAAAAACCUCAGUGACUUAAAUCAACUUGAUUUCUCACUUUAUAUGUGUUUACUGUGUGUCAGCUGAGGCGUCCCCUCCAGGCCUGGCUCACUCAGGGAGCCAGGCUGAUGAAGAAGCCACUAAAUGGAGCAUUGCUGGUGGCAGAAGGAAAGAGAGAAAGUGGCAAAUUGUGUACUCGCUCUUAAAGCUUUCACUCUAAAGCGAUACUUUUCUUCUUCUUCUUUUUUUUUUUUUUGCUGGGGAAAAUUUGCCCUGAGCUAACACCUGUUGCCAAUCUC